rnacentral:rRNA from 1 species
UACGUAGGGUGCGAGCGUUAAUCGGACUUACUGGGCGUAAAGCGUGCGCAGGCGGUUUUGUAAGCCAGAUGUGAAAUCCCCGGGCUCAACCUGGGAAUGGCAUUUGGGACUGCAAGGCUGGAGUGCGGCAGAGGAGACUGGAAUUCCUGGUGUAGCAGUGAAAUGCGUAGAUAUCAGGAGGAAUACCGAUGGCGAAGGCAGGUCUCUGGGCUGACACUGACGCUCAUGCACGAAAGCGUGGGGAGCAAACAGG